CACUUCUCUCUAAAGCACCCCGCUCGAACUGCAGGAGUCGGACCUCCGGGCUCGGCUCCUGCGGCUGUGUAAGCUCGGGUACACCAGGGAAGGAGAUCAAGCCACGGCGUCGAACCGAGGCGAGGAGGGACCUCUUUCUGAAUGUCCAGUGUCCUCUGCCUCCAGAUGCUGUGAUACAUAU
ensembl:snoRNA